GCAACGAGCGCAACCCUUGUCCUUAGUUACCAUCAUAAGUUGGGGACUCUAAGGAGACUGCCGGUGAUAAACCGGAGGAAGGUGGGGGACGACGUCAAGUCAUCAUGGCCCUUAUGACCGGGGCUACACACGUACUACAAUGGUCGGUACAGACGGUCGCAAGCUCGCGAGAGUAAGCUAAUCCGAGAAAACCGAUCGUAGUCCGGAUCGCAGUCUGCAACUCGACUGCGUGAAGUCGGAAUCGCUAGUAAUCGCAAAUCAGAAUGUUGCGGUGAAUACGUUCCCGGGCCUU
rnacentral:rRNA from 1 species